AUACAACUGACAUGGGAGAUACACAACUAAGCAAAUUACUUCCCAUGGCAAGCCUCUCCAUUGCACUUGGGAUUUGCUGUGUGCCUGUAUUUUCCCCAAGUGGGGGAAACUCCACUGCAUAAUUUGUGACAGGUGAUGGACUGUGUAUGAGCUUAUCCCUGAA
ensembl:snRNA U1 U1 spliceosomal RNA